rnacentral:rRNA from 1 species
GUAGGUGGCAAGCGCUGUCCGGAAUUAUUGGGCGUAAAGCGCGCGCAGGCGGUUCUUUAAGUCUGAUGUGAAAGCCCACGGCUCAACCGUGGAGGGUCAUUGGAAACUGGAGAACUUGAGUACAGAAGAGGAAAGCGGAAUUCCACGUGUAGCGGUGAAAUGCGUAGAGAUGUGGAGGAACACCAGUGGCGAAGGCGGCUUUCUGGUCUGUAACUGACGCUGAGGCGCGAAAGCGUGGGGGGAGCAAACAGGAUUAGAUACCCUGGUAGUCCACGCCGUAAACGAUGAGUGCUAAGUGUUAGGGGGUUUCCGCCCCCCCCUUAGUGCUGCAGCUAACGCAUUAAGCACUCCGCCUGGGGAGUACGGCCGCAAGGCUG